CAAUCACGGGGUGUCUAUGUGGGGGGGUGGGGAGAGGGGGGGAACAACCACCUGACCCUCGAGUCACGUGAACGCGCUCGCCUCUCGUUUCUCUCCCCCUCCCCCCCUUUCCAGCCUUCUGUCGCUUUCCUCCACCCCCAACACUUGCUCUGCUUGUAGGGGCUGCAUCACAAACAAGUCAGAAGACUACAAUUCCCGGCGUGCGAUGCUCUGGCCUCGCCCUUGACUUAAGGAGCUGAUGAACUUCCGGAGCGCCAAAAUGGGACCCAUGUAAUAAAUACUGUUUUUUAAAGAAAAGAAGAUGAGACCUCACCCCCCACCCCAACACACACACAAAGAAACAAGCAAAAUCAAUACAUCGAAAAAGUCAGAAAGUAUACAAAGAGCUGAUGACUCAACGGACCUUUCAGAAAGAGUGCUUCCACCCCAGCUCUCUUCCCUGGAGCUCUUUCCCUCCAUCCCAGCAGAAAUGGGGAACAGCAGAGAAUGUAGCUAAUUAAAGCAAGUACUUUGUCU